CGAGGGGUGCAAGCGUUGCUCGGAAUUAUUGGGCGUAAAGGGUAGGUAGGUGGUCUUGUUUGUCUGUGGUGAAAUCCUUGGGCUUAACCCAAGAAGUGCCAUAGAAACGGCAAGACUCGAGUUCUGGAGAGGGUCGUGGAAUUCCCGGUGUAGCGGUGAAAUGCGUAGAGAUCGGGAGGAACACCAGAGGCGAAGGCGGCGACCUGGACAGAUACUGACACUCAACUACGAAAGCGUGGGUAGCAAACAGGAUUAGAUACCCUGGUAGUCCACGCUGUAAACGAUCGGUACUAGGCUUAGGAGGUCUUGACCCCUUCUGAGCCGGAGCUAACGCGAUAAGUACCGCGCCUGGGAAGUACGGUCGCAAGACUA
rnacentral:rRNA from 1 species